rnacentral:rRNA from 1 species
GAUGAACGCUGGCGGCGUGCUUAACACAUGCAAGUCGAACGGUGAAGCAGAGCUUGCUCUGUGGAUCAGUGGCGAACGGGUGAGUAACACGUGAGCAACCUGCCCUGGACUCUGGGAUAAGCGCUGGAAACGGCGUCUAAUACUGGAUACGAGACGUGGCCGCAUGGUCAACGUUUGGAAAGAUUUUUUGGUUCAGGAUGGGCUCGCGGCCUAUCAGCUUGUUGGUGAGGUAAUGGCUCACCAAGGCGUCGGCGGGUAGCCGGCCUGAGAGGGUGACCGGCCACACUGGGACUGAGACACGGCCCAGACUCCUACGGGAGGCAGCAGUGGGGAAUAUUGCACAAUGGGCGAAAGCCUGAUGCAGCAACGCCGCGUGAGGGAUGACGGCCUUCGGGUUGUAAACCUCUUUUAGCAAGGAAGAAGCGAAAGUGACGGUACUUGCAGAAAAAGCGCCGGCUAACUACGUGCCAGCCGCCGCAGUAAAAC